rnacentral:rRNA from 1 species
UCAACCGGGGAGGGUCAUUGGAAACUGGGGAACUUGAGUGCAGAAGAGGAGAGUGGAAUUCCACGUGUAGCGGUGAAAUGCGUAGAGAUGUGGAGGAACACCAGUGGCGAAGGCGACUCUCUGGUCUGUAACUGACGCUGAGGAGCGAAAGCGUGGGGAGCGAACAGGAUUAGAUACCCUGGUAGUCCACGCCGUAAACGAUGAGUGCUAAGUGUUAGGGGGUUUCCGCCCCUUAGUGCUGCAGCUAACGCAUUAAGCACUCCGCCUGGGGAGUACGGUCGCAAGACUGAAACUCAAAGGAAUUGACGGGGGCCCGCACAAGCGGUGGAGCAUGUGGUUUAAUUCGAAGCAACGCGAAGAACCUUACCAGGUCUUGACAUCCUCUGACAAUCCUAGAGAUAGGACGUCCCCUUCGGGGGCAGAGUGACAGGUGGUGCAUGGUUGUCGUCAGCUCGUGUCGUGAGAUGUUGGGUUAAGUCCCGCAACGAGCGCAACCCUUGAUCUUAGUUGCCAGCAUUCAGUUGGGCACUCUAAGGUGACUGCCGGUGACAAACCGGAGGAAGGUGGGGAUGACGUCAAAUCAUCAUGCCCCUUAUGACCUGGGCUACACACGUGCUACAAUGGACAGAACAAAGGGCAGCGAAACCGCGAGGUUAAGCCAAUCCCACAAAU